ACUUCUCUGAGAUGAGGGCGGCAACAGGAGCAAAUGCGAGCAGACAGCUGGAACGCACACCACAGCCUCCAGUGGAAGCAUUCCAAGAUCUGCAGCAAAUAUCUAGCUCAUUGGCAGAAGCAGGUUUUUGGCAUGAACAACUGUUUUUCACUUUGAUUUCGACUCCAGCAGAAGUUCUGCAAGAUGACCUGGGAAUAAAGUUGGCCAAGAAGCCUCCGAGGGGAGAUCGGCGUGUGAGGUGGAGAGCCCCGCGUCUACAUGAGGUGUGAGAUCCCAACAGGUUGACAAUGGAAGCAGAGCUGAGAAUCCGGUCAUCUUAUAUUAAGCCAGAUGCUAAAAAGGUUUGAAAAAAUCAAUGGACUCAGGCUGGUCUCCAACUCCUGACCUUAGGUGAUCCGCGUCGGCCUCCCAAAGUUCUUGGAUUACAGGCGUGAGCCACCGCACCCAGCCAGGCAGACUGAUUUCAAUUCUUUUGGUUAUACACCCAGUAGAGAGAUGGCGGGAUCACAUGGUAGUCCUCUUUUUAAUUUUUUUGAGAAAACUUCAUACUGUUUUCUAUAAUGGCUGUACUAAUUUACAUUUCCAUUAGCAGUGUGCCAGGGUUCCCUUUUCCCCACAUCCUCACCAACACUUGUUUUCUUUUGUCUUAAUAAAAGCCAUUCUGACAGGUGGGCGGUGAUACCUCAUUGUGGUUUUGAUUUGCAGUUCCUUGAUGAUUAGUGAUAUUGAACAUCUUUUCAUUUACCUGCUGGCCAUUUGUAUGUCUUCCUUUGAGAAAUGUCUAUUCCUGAAUAGCUUUUGCCCAUUUUUUAACAGAGUCUUUUAAAAUAUUGAGUUGUUUUAGGUCCUCAUGUAUUUUAGAUAUUCCUUAUCAGAUGUAUGGUUUGCAAAUACAAUAUUUCCUCUCAUUCUGUAGGUUGUCUCUUUACUCUGUUAAUUUUUCCCUUUGCUGGACAAAAGCUU
rnacentral:lncRNA from 1 species